UGGGGAAUAUUGCACAAUGGGCGAAAGCCUGAUGCAGCGACGCCGCGUGGAGGAUGAAGGUCUUCGGAUUGUAAACUUCUGUUAAGUGGGAAGAAAGAGUGCGUGCUAAUACCACGCAAAGAUGACGGUACCACUAGAGAAAGCACCGGCUAACUUCGUGCCAGCAGCCGCGGUAAUACGAAGGGUGCGAGCGUUAUUCGGAAUAACUGGGCGUAAAGAGCGUGAAGGCGGUAUUAUAAGUUGUCUGUAAAAUCCUGGGGCUUACCCCCAGAACCGCAGACAAUACUGUAGAACUAGAAUGCAAGAGAGAGGGGUAGAAUUCUCGGAGUAGCGGUAAAAUGCGUAGAUCUCGAGAGGAACACCGAAGGCGAAGGCAGCCCCUUGGCUUGUAAUUGACGCU
rnacentral:rRNA from 1 species